rnacentral:rRNA from 1 species
UACGUAGGGGGCAAGCGUUGUCCGGAUUUAUUGGGCGUAAAGAGCGUGUAGGCGGCCAGGUAGGUCUGCUGUGAAAACUCGAGGCUCAACUUCGAGCUGUCGGUGGAAACUUUCUGGCUAGAGUCCGGAAGAGGAGAAUGGAAUUCCUGGUGUAGCGGUGAAAUGCGCAGAUAUCAGGAAGAACACCCGUGGCGAAGGCGGUUCUCUGGGACGGUACUGACGCUGGAGAACGCGAAAG